rnacentral:rRNA from 1 species
GACGAACGCUGGCGGCGUGCCUAAUACAUGCAAGUCGAGCGGAUGGAAGGAAGCUUGCUUCCCAAAGUCAGCGGCGGACGGGUGAGUAACACGUGGGCAACCUGCCCCUAAGAUCGGGAUAACUUCGGGAAACCGAAGCUAAUACCGGAUAUGAUUAUGUCUCACAUGAGACAUAAUGGAAAGACGGUUUCGGCUGUCACUUAGGGAAGUGCCCAUGGCGCAUUAGCUAGUUGGUGAGUGAACGGCUCACCAAGGCGACGAUGCGUAGCCGACCUGAGAGGGUGAUCGGCCACACUGGGACUGAGACACGGCCCAGACUCCUACGGGAGGCAGCAGUAGGGAAUCUUCCGCAAUGGACGAAAGUCUGACGGAGCAACGCCGCGUGAGUGAAGAAGGUUUUCGGAUCGUAAAACUCUGUUGUUAGGGAAGAACAAGUACCAUAGUAACUGAUGGUACCUUGACGGUACCUAACCAGAAAGCCACGGCUAACUACGUGCCAGCCGCCGCGGUAAUAC